AUGCAGCCCCGGAUACUCCCUGUUCCGUGCAUUGCCUGUCUGCCGCUGGGAAUUCGGACUGGAUGGAAUUCUUUUAACAACGUUGACCAUUUCUGCAAAAUCUUAGUUGGAGCUCUCUACCAGAGGCCUCAAGCUGCCACACCAGACGAGCGUGAGCAUCUGAGUCUUCUAGGAGGACUCUCCAGCUGCUCUGUGCCUUGUCCAACUGGUGUCCAUCCUAAUAUUCCCACCCAGAGUUAUUUUUGCUAGAGGAGGAAGAAUGCCCUCCCGGGAGCCAGUUCUUGGGGGAAAAGAAGGAUUGCUGAGAUAGCCAGAGCCCACAGGAAAGGAAGAUAACUGCAGCAGCUAAAGGUGAGUGAUGUGCUUUUUUCCAGUUCAGUGAAAGCAGUCCGUGUCUGCUCGCUUUCCCGUGAAUUUCGUAAGUGUAUUUUUCCCAUAUAAUCUUUGGAAUAAACAGGAAGGAAAGAUUUUAAAUUGAGAGAAUAAGCUUCAUGGGAAACCAAGAGUUCAUCCGUCAUUGACUCCCCAACAUCUAGCAUAGUGCCUGAUAUGUAGAUGUCCAAUAAAUGUUUGGUGCAAACAGGAAAGGACAGUAGGAGGGAAAGAGGGAAAGAGAGAGAGAAGGGAUUGGAGAAUGGGCACAAAUAGAACGAAUGUUAAUGUAUUAUUCAGAAAUAAUGUGAUAACAGUUGUGUUUCCAAAGCUUAUUAGGUACACUACCACUGAUACCUAGAAUCAAUAAAACAAAUUAAGUCAUUUUGCAAA
rnacentral:lncRNA from 1 species